UACGUAGAAGACUAGUGUUAUUCAUCUUUAUUAGGUUAAAGGUACUUAGACGGUACUACUAGCCCAAAUUAGGGUACGGUAAUUAUCUAGAGUUUAUAUGAGAAGGGAGUAUUCACGGAGUUAGAGAUGAAAUUUUUUGAUACCAUGACGAACUGACAAUGGCGUAAAGCAACCUUCUGUUUAUUAACUGACGUUGAGGAACGAAGGGCUUGGGAUAG
rnacentral:rRNA from 1 species